rnacentral:rRNA from 1 species
AGUGAACGCUGGCGGCAGGCCUAACACAUGCAAGUCGAGCGGCAGCGGGUCCUUCGGGAUGCCGGCGAGCGGCGGACGGGUGAGGAAUGCGUCGGAAUCUGCCUUUUUGUGGGGGAUAACGUAGGGAAACUUACGCUAAUACCGCAUACGACCUACGGGUGAAAGUGGGGGACCGCAAGGCCUCACGCAGAAAGAUGAGCCGACGUCGGAUUAGCUAGUUGGCGGGGUAAAGGCCCACCAAGGCGACGAUCCGUAGCUGGUCUGAGAGGAUGAUCAGCCACACUGGAACUGAGACACGGUCCAGACUCCUACGGGAGGCAGCAGUGGGGAAUAUUGGACAAUGGGCGCAAGCCUGAUCCAGCCAUGCCGCGUGUGUGAAGAAGGCCUUCGGGUUGUAAAGCACUUUUGUCCGGAAAGAAAUCCUGUCGGCCAAUACCCGGCGGGGAUGACGGUACCGGAAGAAUAAGCACCGGCUAACUUCGUG